GUGCUCACUUUGGUAGCACAUAUACUAAAAUUGAAAUGAUAUAGAGAUUAGCAUGGCCCCUG
ensembl:snRNA U6 U6 spliceosomal RNA